CAAUUUUGAACAGCCAAAUCCUUCAGAUUGGUGUCCUUGUUACACAGUUCAGUUUGGGUGUUCCCAUCAUCAAUCCUAUAUCCUUUCCAGAGGGAGAAGCAUCAAGAGCAGGAUCUUUAGCUUCUCGACAGGCGGGAGAAUCGUCAUCCUGGGAAAACAAGAAAAGGUAUUUUAAAUCUGUGCGGUAGAGAUGAAAAAAGAAGAAGAAA